rnacentral:sRNA from 2 species
GAUUAGUCGCGAUUGCAGCGGCAUCCUUCCCGAAACGGGAAGAUAGAGCGGAGAGCGGGACCGAAA